rnacentral:rRNA from 1 species
GAUGAACGCUGGCGGCGUGCCUAAUACAUGCAAGUCGAGCGAACGGACGAGAAGCUUGCUUCUCUGAUGUUAGCGGCGGACGGGUGAGUAACACGUGGAUAACCUACCUAUAAGACUGGGAUAACUUCGGGAAACCGGAGCUAAUACCGGAUAAUAUUUUGAACCGCAUGGUUCAAAAGUGAAAGACGGUCUUGCUGUCACUUAUAGAUGGAUCCGCGCUGCAUUAGCUAGUUGGUAAGGUAACGGCUUACCAAGGCAACGAUGCAUAGCCGACCUGAGAGGGUGAUCGGCCACACUGGAACUGAGACACGGUCCAGACUCCUACGGGAGGCAGCAGUAGGGAAUCUUCCGCAAUGGGCGAAAGCCUGACGGAGCAACGCCGCGUGAGUGAUGAAGGUCUUCGGACCGUAAAACUCUGUUAUUAGGGAAGAACAUAUGUGUAAGUAACUGUGCACAUCUUGACGGUACCUAAUCAGAAAGCCACGGCUAGCUACGUG